ensembl:lncRNA
GCAGUGCCGCGCGGUGGCGGCAGCGAGGAGCGCAAAGGAGGCCGCGGGCGCCUGAGAGGCGGGAGCGCUGGUGUGGCGGAGGCUCUGGAGGCUGUGCCACUCGCUCGCCGUGGACCGCGCGUGGCCGGGCCGCAGUUCCUCCCGGCGGGGACCGCAGAGAUAAAGAAACUGAGGCCCAGACAGAUAUACAGCUUGUCCAUGCUCACCCAGCUCUUGAGUGGCAGAUCUGGGACUAUCUCCGGAGCUCAUGAUCUUAACCACUACUCUCAACAAAAGAGGUUGAUCCACGCAUGUUCUGUGGAUUCACUGUCUCCCUGUGCCUCCAACACUGACCACUACCUUCUUUUCCUGCUUUCAUGCCUGAUCCUCAGAACCAUCAGCAGUUUCGCAAAAUCCUCAAUUGCAGAGAAAAGGCAGCAGGGUUUCCUUCAUUUUUAUGCCAUAUGCUUUAUUAUAUUUCAAAAUUUCAAUAGUAGGAGUUACUGGUGAGUUAACUUCAUUUGCAUUUUCCAGCCUAGCUUGACCUUAUAUCCACAGAUGAAUAUCAGGGAUAGAUUGCUUGAGAACAAAAUGCAUUUCCAAAUACAUUGACUCAGUAAAGGACAGCUGGGGUGAUUUCUUCUAUUCUGCAUCUUGUAUGUUUUUUGUCAAUUAAUAUGAAGGAACAAUGUUUCUUCAGAUUGUUAUAAGCAUAGAUGUGUCAUGGCCAAAUGCUACAUCCCUCAAAUUUUAAGAAAUUUGGAUGGCAUUUAAGUGUUGGCUUUCAAACUGGAUGGCUAUCAAAGUAAGACACUUUUAUAUUAAUUUUUAGUAGCAGUAGAGUAUAAAUCAUUGAUUCCCUUUUAUAUGAUUAACUGAUGACCAUUAAUAAUAAUAGCUAAUGCAUGUUGAGUGCAUACUAUGUGUGAGGCACCAUUCCAACUACUACCAUGGAUCUGCUGAGGUAGUGUGUUACUCUGUUUAGACUGCUCUAACAACAUAUCCUAGAUUGUGUGGCUUAGACAACAGAUAUUUAUUUAUUUCAUUCAUAGCAUUUAUUUUAUUUUAAUUGACAUAUUUAUAAUUUAUGGGGUACAGUGUAAUUCCAUACAUGCGUAUAUUGUGUCAUGAUUGAGCCAGG